rnacentral:rRNA from 1 species
ACGGGAGGCAGCAGUGGGGGAUAUUGCACAAUGGGGGAAACCCUGAUGCAGCGACGCCGCGUGAGUGAAGAAGUAUUUCGGUAUGUAAAGCUCUAUCAGCAGGAAAGAUAAUGACGGUACCUGACUAAGAAGCACCGGCUAAAUACGUGCCAGCAGCCGCGGUAAUACGUAUGGUGCAAGCGUUAUCCGGAUUUACUGGGUGUAAAGGGAGCGUAGGUGGCCAUGCAAGUCAGAUGUGAAAUCCCGGGGCUCAACCCCGGAGCUGCAUUUGAAACUGCGUAGCUAGAGUGCAGGAGAGGUAAGCGGAAUUCCUAGUGUAGCGGUGAAAUGCGUAGAUAUUAGGAGGAACACCAGUGGCGAAAGCGGCUUGCUGGACUGCAACUGACACUGAGGCUCGAAAGCGUGGGGAGCAAACAGGAUUAGAUACCCUGGUA